GUAACAUACCACAUUGGGUUUCUAUUCUCUUGGCCUUCUUUGUAAAGUCUCUCUCUUAUUCUUUCUGUGAGCAAGCUUGGAUAAUUUAGGGAAAACCUAUUUUAAUGAUUUCUAACCAGUAGAAUAUUCUACCUGGAUUAUUCAUCAAUAAGAGUUGAUAAAAUCAAGAUUGAUAUCAGAAUAUUUUUUACAGAUAUCCCUGAUUAAAUGUAUUGGGAGCCUAGGAAAACCCUCAGAAGAUGUUGUGCCAAUAGAAGCUGAACAGCCAUAGCUAUAGGGAACUGGUCUGAACAGGAAUGGA